rnacentral:rRNA from 1 species
UCUGAAUCUGCGUACGGCUCCGCACACCAGUUGUAAACCAAAGCAAGCAAGCCCGGUCUCGACGCCUUUCGGGGCUAGGGGCCGGGCUACAAGGAUAACCCUGGUAAUUCUGAGGCUAAUACUUGACACCUAACCUGUCGACUGGGUCUCGGCCCGGGAAGCGGGGGAUGUGCGACUAUCGGGCCAACAAAACCGGAAAGAGCGCACGUUCAGACCACUUAAAAAGGCUACGGGGUCCCUCGGGACCUCGGAGCUGUGGCUCUUGCAGCGUGCUUCUGACCUAUCAACUAGACGGCAGCCUAAGGGACAUGCUUUGGU